CCCUUAGAUGUCCUGGGCCGCACGCGCGUUACACUGAUGCAUUCAACGAGCUUAUAACCUUGGCCGAGAGGCCUGGGCAAUCUUGUUAUCGUGCAUCGUGAUAGGGAUAGAUUAUUGAAAUUAUUAAUCUUGAACGAGGAAUUCCUAGUAAACGCAGAUCAUCAAUCUGCAUUGAUUACGUCCCUGCCCUUUGUACACACCGCCCGUCGCACCUACCGAUUGGAUGGUCCGGUGAAGCCUCGGGAUUGUGGUUCUUGCCGCUUUAUUGUGGCGUGACCGCGAGAACUUGUCUAAACCUUAUCAUCUAGAGGAAGGUGAAGUCGUAACA
rnacentral:rRNA from 1 species